rnacentral:rRNA from 1 species
GACGAACCGAGCGAACGUUGUUCGGAAUCACUGGGCUUAAAGGGCGCGUAGGCGGAUUUGCAAGUCCGUGGUGAAAUCCCACAGCUCAACUGUGGAACUGCCUCGGAUACUGUGAGUCUCGAGGGUGGCAGGGGUAUGCGGAACUAUCGGUGGAGCGGUGAAAUGCGUUGAUAUCGAUAGGAACUCCGGUGGCGAAGGCGGCAUACUGGUCCACUUCUGACGCUGAGGCGCGAAAGCCAGGGGAGCAAACGGG